rnacentral:sRNA from 1 species
CAGCAGGAGACCCAGGCUCUACCCGAGCUCUGUGGGAAUGUGGGCACGUCCUUCCCAUGCUCUCAGCCUUGAUGAUUGCGAAGGUCACUCCUAACUCUGCCUCCUACAGCAGAGCGGGAAAUAGCACAGGCUCCUUCAGGCCUGUUCUGGGGUCUGCUUCCUUCACCUUCCAGAAGGAAAAGCAUUGACUCGGACAGGGCUGUCUGACUGUCUACCACGCUCUAAGUCCUGAGGAAGACAGAGGAGGCCUGCUCCCUUCCCCUAGGAGCACACUGUCUGAACCCCAGAGCAAAGCCCUAGGGCCCAGGGAGCUGUGAGCCAGGGGAGGCCCUCGCUUCUCUGCUUGGAGAAGGGCUCUGAGAUACUUUUGGAGAAACACAAAUUCUGUAACAUCAAGUGCUACAUCGAUGGGCCUUAUGGGACCCCCACCCGCAGGAUCUUUGCCUCUGAGCACGCCGUGCUCAUUGGGGCAGGCAUCGGCAUCACCCCCUUUGCUUCCAUCCUGCAGAGUAUCAUGUACAGGCACCAGAAAAGAAAGCAUACUUGCCCCAGCUGCCAGCACUCCUGGAUCGAAGGUGUCCAAGACAACAUGAAGCUCCAUAAGGUGGACUUUAUCUGGAUCAACAGAGACCAGCGGUCUUUCGAGUGGUUUGUGAGCCUGCUGACUAAACUGGAGAUGGACCAGGCUGAGGAGGCUCAAUAUG